CUUUCUACUUGUGGGACUAGCUGCUCUUUUCUUCUUCACUGUUUUCUUCUGCUUUGAGAAGAGACCUUGACUGAAGAUGCAGUGCUAAACAUUUAACUAGCAAUAGCUGUGGUACAAACUUUUAACUAGAUUUGAAGCUACUUAUUGCCUCCAGGCACUGGUUUAAAGUUAAACAUACUAUAAUAUCUAAGAUAAUGGGGAGUAGAGCCUGAAAAGUAAGGCAAACCUACACACAAACUUCUGAGUAUGUACUUCUUUACUUCUUAUAUCUCAUUCUUCUAAGUGGCCAAGUAUUCAGAUAAAGAUCCAGGCCAAAAAAGUAAUUCAGUUACACGUGUGAUUAUUUCUUUUUAAAAAAUCACCUAAUCACCUUAUAUUUUUUGUUCCCUUUUUGAUUUGGAAAGAACAUUGUAUUCUGGACCAGUGUUCUAAACUUGUUGGGAUCACAGAAUCAUGGAAGUGUAGGAAUUAGAAGAGACUUCUGGAGGUCAUCUAUUCCAACCCCCUGCUAAACCAGGUUUCCUAGGUAUUAGAUGGAUUAUACACUACCCAAUUUGUGUCAACCAAGGAAUGUAAAGAAGCACAUAUCUGAAGAAAACAGAAGGAGCUCCAAGAGCAUUCAGAAAUCUAAAAGUGAGGCGGAAUCAUGGUAUUUUCCCUAACAGGCUUACGUCAGUACAGCAAGAGGAAGUCUUUCAACAGUUUGAAAUAUAGACCAAUGCCUUUUGAGUUUAUCUGUGCUCUAUAAAAUAAGUAUUUCCAUACCUCUGAAUUUUCAAUGUAAAUAUUUCUGUCAAGCACUGAGGAAUAACCUUUUCAAUGGGUCUAUACCUACAUGGCCAUGUCUACAUGACUUUUUUGUCUGAUGGAAAAGCUGUAAAAUCAGUAGCGUGGUAUUAUGGCCAGGUCAAUUUGUGCUGCUGGGGUAUUGCGCCUUUGUGAAGGGUUGUGUGAUUAUUAUCUUUGUCUUUCCAUAUUGAACCAAGAAAUAGAAUUGGUAUUCAUUGCUAUCCUGUCACAGACUCCAUAGCCUGUCUGAAGAAUCAUAGUAUUAUACAAAAUUAUAGCUUUUCAGUAUUUUCUAAGCAAUAUAAUAGAUCAAGAUGGAAACUCAUGCUGAAGUUGAAUCACUGUUGUCAGUAGCUGUUAGCAAAUUAAGUCUCUGAGUUGAUCAAACCUAAAGUCAAUUUCAGAGUAAGGACAAUGAGAGAAGAAAAAAAACCAAAAACCCCAGAAAUUCCUUUUUUGACAUGAAUUUUACAUUUAUGGUCAAUUUAGAUUUGCAACACAAGCCUGGGUUAGAAAAUUACCAAAGUUUACAAAGAGAUCAUGUUGCCCAUUGCCCUGCAGCCUGUUUUUGGGGAGUUUCAUAGUAUGAAACUUAAGCACAUUGUCUACAGGCAUUAAUGAGAUUUCUCAGAAUUUAGAGUGUGCAGCAAGGCCACUUCUUUCAUGACAGUGGGAUAUUUAAUUUAACUUCCAGUUCACUCUUAUUUUACUGAGAUUUUGGGAUUUGGUAGAGCACAAGUUCCUAACAGCCCAAAGAAAAGUUGGUGUCAGGUUAAGGCUUCACAGCCUGAGAAAGCUAGUGUCUACUUUACUUCUAAAUUGCCCAGUUACCCAUUAUUAACAUUAUUUGUUCUUUGGUGUAUUCAUAGAAUCAUAGAAUCAUAGAAUGGCCUGAGUUGAAAAGGAUCAUAAUGAUCAUCUAGUUUCAACCCUCCUGCUGUGUGCAGGGUUGCCAACCUAUUAUUACCUAUUUUCGUCAGCAGUGACUGUCUGGUCUGAUAGAUGCCUUUUGUUACUCAUGCAUUUUAAAUAAUGAAUAUAAAUGUACCUUUCCUGUGUACAGCCACGUAACCUGCUAUAUAAAGAGAUCCGAAGAUAAAGCAGAACUACCAGUUCAUGCCUCCGCAACCAGUACAUCAGAAAACGUAAAAAGAGCAAGAAACCAAACAACCAAGGUAUAAACCUUAAGCCUUCAUAAUAUUGUAGCUUUGCCAAGCUGAGAGCAGACAACAUAUAAGAUGAUGCCAUUCUGACACUCUUUUCCCUCUGUCUUGGUGACUAUAGAGCUUGCAAGAGUCAGUUCUGAUUGGUUAGUAUUGUACUGAAGUAUGUGAGACUGGAAAGGUUAUUCAGGGAGAUAAUCCUUGUUUACUCUGAGCAUUACAAAAGAAAAAUAAAGUAAUACUACAAAUAGCAGGACUAAUGAAGUUCAAUUUCCUGUGCUUUUGUAUAUGUCCCAUUUUGUCCCAUGAUGGAGAGGGAAAAGGAACUGUGCAGAUUUUUUUGUGUUUCAUAUUAGGUAAGCUGCUUUAUGCAUGGUUUAUAUUUUUAUCUUAGUGGCAUCUCUUUCUCAGGGACUGUAUCAAAUGUUUGAUAUUUCAGCGCUCUCUAAAUCUCUAUCUGUCUCAUUUGGUUGAGGUUGAAAAACAGGUUAAAAAGUUACCAGGAAUAAUGUUUUUUACUGAGAUCUCUGACAUCUAUAUGGUGGCCCUCCUCUUCAUAAACACUGAUGGUCACGUGGAGGACAUGAUCUCAUAAUUCUCAUGUUCUUAGGAAAUAUGGCUAAAAAUACCACACAUUUCCGGAUGAGUAAUAGGCUUUGCCCAGGCUACAGCUGUCACUGGGACAAGAAGGGAACAGAACAGAGAGAGCAUGGUCGGAAUAUGGCAUGAAACUUCCCCCUGGGCUUGUUUACAUGAGCACAAUUUGUCCUCCGGUUGCACCGUUAUUACAGAUGUUCCAUAAAAUAAAUGGUCUUAAAGAAAGGGAUAGAGAUUUCUGUUGGGUUCAAAGCAUUUGGAUGCUAGCCAUGAGUGCAGAGCAACAGGCUUCAUGACCGAGGUAGAGCUAGGCACUUCUCAGUCAGCUUGCAGCAGCCAUCAUCUGUUGUGUUCCCUAUCCAGCUGGCAUGUGAAACCCGCAUGUGCGCAACAGAGCAAAAUGGCUGACAUAGCCAUGUGCUGAACAGGUGUCUUGUGGCUGUCUUGCUGGAGUGUGGACAUCACAUUUGUGCCCUGUAUUUGAGAGUAAACUGGUGCUACGUUUCUGCGUUUCUGUAAACUAGAAAUAAUGUCACCGUACUUAGUCUACCAUUAAUCUCCAGUGGCACACAAGACAAAAAGGGAAAAAUUGAUGGCAGCAGAUGACUCUGUUUUACCUUUCUGUGAAAGGUAGAAGAAACUGAGCAAAAAAGAAUUUGUGCAUCUUUCCCUAGGCACAGAUGAGCUUCCUAGAAGGUACCUGUUUGGUACAAAACAAGUUCAAAGAGAAAACAGGAGAGCAACAUCUUAGUGCCAGUAGUCUUGCUUAGGGUCUUCACAGAGCUAAAUGAUAUAUUAGAGAAGCAAAAUUUGUUCACAAAAAGAAAGUAUCAGCUUUUACAGGAGAGUCACAGGCAACUCAACUGUAAUGCAAGAGACAGAAUUAACCUGCUGUCAGUUAAAUCAAAGCACAGAGCCAUGUAACAUAAAGUACAAAAAAGUGACUUCCCCAUUAGGGUCUUACAGAGGAACGAAGAGGAUUUUUUAAUAAUGAAGGCAAGAAACAAAAGCACUAGAAAAAAAUUAGACAAGAAAUCCAUCUUAAGGUGCAUCUGUUCAACCAAAAGUACAGUUACACCUCUUGGGAAAGCUGAACAACUUGUUGUGAACGACAGCCCUUGUAAUUAGGUGAUGCAUUUCAAAUAUUUAGAUAUUUAAGUAUCCAGGAGUGAAACUAGCAUUUGAUGUUGAAAAACUUCUGGCCAUAGCUCAAUAAAAAAAUUGUUGAAGAUUAUUUUUCACUUCAGAGGCAGCUAAGGUCCAAAUGGACUAUACUUUUUUGGUUUUUGACAAUGAAGAAAUCUUUUGACCUCGGUGUUUUUGGGUAUAUACACUUAUGUAUACAAUGCAUAAGAGCAGGAUCAACAGUAUUCUCGUGGAGUUUUUGCUCCAUUUCACAUCACAAAAGCACAAUCUCACUACAGUACCUGCCACACUUCCUCUGUAUGCUCCAGUCAUGCAUAUCAUAAUCGUCUUUCCAGCCUCAAAGAUAUUACUCUUCUAGGCCUGGGGUCCCCAGCACAAGAAAGGUGUGAAAAUUGAAAGAUGAUCAGAGGGCAGGAAUAGCUUUCCUGUGAAGACAGGCUGAGGGAGCUUGACUUGUUCAGCCUGGAGAAGAGAAGGCUUCAGAGAAACUUCACUGCAGCCUGCUUGAGGGGAUCUUAUGAACAGGAAGAAGACUGCCUUUUUACAUGGGUAUAUAUAUACAGGACAAGGGGGAAUGGCUUUAAACUAAAAGAGGGGAAAUUUAGGUUAGAUGUUAGGGAGAAAUUUCUCGCUCAGUGGGUGGUAAGAUGCUGGAACAGGUUGCCCUGAGAGGUUGUGGCUGCCCCAUCUCUGGAGGUGUUUGAGGCCAGUUUUGAUGCAGCAGAUGGGCAAUCUGAUGUGGUGGAUAGCAAACCUGCCCAAGGCAGGAGCAUUGGAAGAUCCCUUCCAACCUAAGCCAUUCUAAAAUUCUAUGAUCCUAUGAUAAUGAAACUGACAGAUAGGAGUGUUAGAAAGUUGUAUAGCAAUCUUUGUACCAAGUCCCACAGUCUCUGUCUUUCAUCAUCUGAAAAGCAUUCAUAGACUGCUGAUGUAUUUUUCAUGUUGUCAAAUUCUUUUCUUUAGUUUCUGAGAUCUUACAUUAGACAGCAUCUUCUGUGUCUCUGAUUUACUUCCCCUCUCCAUGGUGUAUCAGCAUUCACAGCCUCACAUCUCUUUAAUUAUGUUCUCUCACAAUAACCUUAUUGUGGCUAUAUGCUUUCAAAAUAGUUUUGUCCCUUCAUUCCUGCAGACAUAUCAACUCAAAACCACAGUUAAACUAUCAUGGCAGACACAGAUGCAAAUUCACAUGUCUAUGAUUCCUCCCCUCCUUUUUUUUUUUUUUUUUUUUUUUUGUGGUGUACUGCUUUAGUUCUACGCUCACUACCAAUCUGGAGACAGUUUUUGUCUGGGUUUUGGGAAAUGGACAGGGUGUGGAAAUGUCACAGCUCUUGCUAUACAGUUUGUGGAAACACAAUGGAAAAAAAAAAAUGGGUUGAGCCUUCAAAGGGGCAAUGGAGCUUUGCUGUCCUUGUUCAGUUGGAGUAUUUAUGUUGCCUAAUAUCCGACCACUAAGUGUCUGAAUUCUUGCGACUCCUUAAGUUGCAAGAAAGAGAAAAUUGCCUCUGCAAACAGUAGUUCAUGAUACAUCCUGCUUUGAAUUCCUCUGAAGGAAUACAUUUAUUUCCAUUCAAUCUGGGGGUUGUAGGCGCCUUACUUAGGCAUGUAUGCUGCAGGCUUCAGGUCAGCUGAUGCAAAUACCUUCAUGGCAGCCUAACAGUUUUAAGAGCUUAUAGGUUCAGUUGUUUUCUUUGGCGCCUAGAGAGUUGGCUAGUCACACAAUGGAAGCCGCAUUCAUUCCACUCAUAGUGUGUCUGAGAUCCUAAGGUCACUUUUCUGUUCUGUGGUGCAAUUUGUCUGGGUGCAAAUGGUGCAACUUAUCCUUGUUAAUUGCAAAUUGUUUAGGCACAAGAAUCUGCUGUUUUGGAAUGUUGUGUAAGUUACAUAGUACAUAAGGCGUAACAAAAUGAUUACUGAUAAUAAUAGAAACACUGUUCCCAUUAAAUGCCAGAAAACCAGAUAUCAUAAUUAUAAAAAAAUGUAGAAGAACUUUUAAUUGAAAAUGAAGAACUGACAUGGUAUGAAAAAUGUAUGUAGCAGCAAUUCUUUGUGAUGUUUUGGAUGUUUUUGGGGAUAUAAGAAAUGUAAACUGAGAGUCUGCUGUUCUGUAAACUGAUGGGUGAGGAGAAAAAACAUGGAACGGUAUCUCUGAAAUUCAGGAAAAGUGGUAAAGAGUUCUUUGAUCUAACUUCAACCUGCUUCAGUAAUUGUGUAUCAAUGUCACUCUAGUCAUACAGUAGGGCCUGAGUAAGUGGAAGGAAAUAAAAUAAUAAUGACGCUUUCAUCAUGUUCAACUUAAAAAUAAAAGUAAACUGAAAUAUUUUCAUUUUUAAUUGCCUCUUGGUAUUUAAUUUGAUUAUUUGAUUAAAAGAUUCUAGGUUGACUCUAAUAGUGCUGUUACUUGGCAUUAAAAGUCCUUUGUAGCAAUGAGAGCAGCAAAAGAAACAUCACAGAAGAGAGUGCAUACAAUGUAAGAAGCUAGCUUUAGUACAGAGGUAGAGAUGAUUGUUAUGAAAAAGAAGCAUAUAUGAAUUUUAAAUGCUUGCUUUCUUGCCCUUGAGUUGAAUAAAUGUUUUCAUUGUAAAAAUUUAGUUGUAUAAAUGCUUCCAGUUGGGAUGCUUUUCAGUCUUGUCGCUUUUCUCAGUAUUUACUGGAAGUUUAUUUUUUGUUCAACUGACUGCAGUAGACUUUCUAUAAAUGUAAAAUAGAUGUAGCUGCAAAAUCAGAUUCCUUAUUAUUCAGAUGAAUUCACCUGCAGGAGCAAUGGAACCGAAAGAUCUAUUCAAUGUGAGGAGUAAAAAAAAAAAAAACAGAACAAACAAACAAACAAACAAAAAAACCCAAACUAACAAAAAAAAAAAAAAAAAAGAGGAGGGGAGAAAAAAAUAUAGGAGUGGAAUUUCUGUGCAGCACAUCCACCUACAGCUGAGCUGGUCAGUGUUUUGUGAUGGCUGCUUCCUCUUUGGAAUGUUCUGCUUUCAGCUUGGUUUCCCUGGGAACGAUAUGUGAGAAACAGAGUGUUGUGCUGUCUAGAGGCUUGACAGUAUUCCCUUGAGAUACAAAUGUGUUCACCUCCAGAGAUAGAUAGCCGAUAUCCGUUGGCCUACCUCACAGAAAGAUUUAACUGAGCAGAAAAAAAGCUCACCAAGUUCAUCACAUGGCUCCACCACUCAGAUUAUUUUGUUUUUCUGCUUGGUUUGUAACACAAAGUUAUAAAACGAGGGUCAUAAAAUUCUAUUUUCGAGAUUAACCACUCCAGGAAAUACGCUUUUUUUAACUCCUAAACCCAGAAGUGAUUUAUUUACAAUAUUUGUUUUAGUUCCUUUUGCCAAAUGAAAAGAAUCAACAACCCCCAAAAAUCACUGCCAAUAGACUAAACUUUUCUGUUCUAGCUUAAGUAAAUAUGUUGGAUGUAAAAAUAAACAGAAUUACUUGCCUGCCAUUGAAGCCUUGUUAGAGCAUGUAUAGAGAGUGUUAUUUCUAAGGGUUUGGAGAAAACUGUUUUAUUUAAAACUACAUUCACUUAUGAUGCAAAUUUUCCUUCAAGUAACUUUUGUUCUCAUAAAGACAGGCUAUUCACAGUCAUCAGGUUGAGGUUACACCACUGAUUCCCUAUCCUACUGGUGCACAAUAGGCUCUAAUCAGUGCUAUAAACAAAGCAAGUUCCACUUGCAUCCCUGAAUUUACUGGAGUUCCAAGUUCUUGAGGCAGAGGUGCCAACAGAGUUACUGACGUGAUGAAUGAUGCUCAUGCUCAUUAAAUCUGUCACUAAAACCAGAGCUCCCUUGGAACAAGACUGUUGAUGUUUGUGCGGAAUGGACAUCUGAACUGAAAUGGCAAAAGCUAACUCUUCUUAGAUACUGAGCAUCCUGAGACCUGCUUUAGUCCCUAGAAGUUCUGAGUGAUAAAUACUUCAUGCAAGCAUUGAAAAAAGAUUAUUGCAAAACCUACUGAAGUCUAAAGACUAUCAUUUAUUCCAGCAGGCAUCAGAUCAAGCCCAGUGUGAAUGAGUAUCAGAGUAUGUCUACAUAGACUUUUGCAGGCAGAAUAGAAGUUUCUCGGCCCAAGAUUUGAGCCAGCUGGAUGUAUGACAGCUCUAAACUGGAAGCCAUGUUACUGCAUUUAGUGUGGAGCCCAAACUAAAGCCCCUGCUGAAAGACAGAAAAUAUCAAUUUGUGGUAAGCAGCGUGCUCAUCCAAGGAUGCGUAGAGUGAAUGCACAUAUGCUCAGAGUGCAGACAGAAUGAUUUCAUGCUUGCAUGCAAAAGACCACGUAGAAAAAUGUCCUGAAAGGGGAAAUGCAUCUAAACUCUGAUGUGAACAUUUAAAUAUUCUCCCCCGUGGACCUAGGGAAACUGAGGAAAAGAGGUAGAUGGACUUUUUCCUAACACAAUUUUUCCUGGUUUGUUUCUUUUCAGAUGGCGAGACAACAGAUAGCAAGAGAGGCCUGCAGAUAAAAAGAAAAAAAUAUUAAUUAAACUAAAUUCCAAAGCCACAAAAUGAUUGACUUUCACUGGCAUGGGCUUUGCAAUCCCCAAAACAAUACUUUAAAGUGUUUAAUUUUUUCACAUCAAUUUUAAUUAAGCUCUCAUUAGGCUGUUGUGCCCCUAGAAUUUGGCAGACAAAAGAAGCUGGCUUGUCCAACGAGUUUCCCAAGCUUGCACAGCUCUAUUCCUAAGGAGAUUUAUCGCAUUUUUUUCCUCCCCUUGAAAGAACCUUACAUGAACCAAUUCAAAUGAAAAACACAUGGACUAAAAAAGACUUCAUCAUGCCAGAUACCUUUUUAUAUCCAAAGCAGUGAACUUGUAGUCAGUUUGUCCUUUCAUGUGUUGUUUUUUCUGGCUUUGGGACCUAAGAAUGAUUUUUUACUACGUGCAGUAGUAAAACAACAUAUUAUGCAAUUCUAUUUUUCAAGGAGAACACUAUGUAAUUCAUAGGCUUUGCAACGCCACAUUUUCUGUUCAGAAAUACAUAAAGUGACUUAUUUUCCCCUUAUGGGCAGACAUCAAGAAAUUUAUAUUCAACAAAUGAUAUUCCAGCUUACCUAACUUGAUUUUUUUGGAGUUUUAACUAUUUCAAAAGUGAUUGCAUAAUGUAAAAACAAGCAGCUUACAAACUGCAUUUUCAUCUCUGCUGUUGAAGAACUUAGCAGGUGUGACAGGUGAAAACACAUCAUAACUUGACCUGAUCACAGCUCAAUGGAUCUGACAACAGAGAAAGACCUUUCCAUGAAGUCCACAUCAUGGAUUAGCAGAUUUGUUAAAAUAAUUUGUCAGAAAUAUACUCGCUGGUUUUGAAGAUGGUAACAUCUUCCAAAGAAAGCUUUCAUAACGCUUUUGGUUUCUUACAACCAGUCUACAAAAGAUGGGAUGGUACAAUUGCUAAGAACUUUCUAAAUAUUGAUGUCUUUAGCUUCAAAUAAACAACAGUAAUUCCAGAAGCUUAGCCCUCUAAUCCUCCUCUGGAUUUAUUUGUUGUCUUGUAUCUCUUAAAUAUACAAUAGUCAAUGAAUAUAUAGCGUCAUGUCUGCAGGCUCUCAUCUUGAUGGGUUAUUUUAACCACACAAAUAUCUGUUGGGGAAAACCAUAUGGGAGUCUGCAAGCAAUCCUGGAGACUCCUGGAGUGUGCUCAGUAUAACUUCCUGGUCAUGAUAUUAGACAAACUGGGAAGAGGAGAAGCAUUACUGCACCUGGUGCUCACCAGUGCAGAGGAGUUCAUUAAAGAAGUUAAGAAUAGAGGCAGUCUGGUCUGUAUUAACUGUGCCCUGGUAGAAUUUGUGAUUUUGAAGAUGAUGGGCCUGUUACAUUUGUCAGAAGAGACAGGCCAAAGAGAGUGCACCCCCUCUGAUAAGAAGGGAAAACUGGCCACAACAGACAUGGAGAAGGCUUAGAUAUUCAAUGAAUUCUUUGCCUCAGUCUUCUGGAG
ensembl:lncRNA